GAUGAACGCUGGCGGCGUGCCUAAUACAUGCAAGUCGAGCGAACGGACGAGAAGCUUGCUUCUCUGAUGUUAGCGGCGGACGGGUGAGUAACACGUGGAUAACCUACCUAUAAGACUGGGAUAACUUCGGGAAACCGGAGCUAAUACCGGAUAAUAUUUUGAACCGCAUGGUUCAAAAGAGAAAGACGGUCUUGCUGUCACUUAUAGAUGGAUCCGGGCUUCAUUAGCUAGUUGGUAAGGUAACGGCUUACCAAGGCAACGAUGCAUAGCCGACCGGAGAGGGGGAUCGGCCACACGGGAGGUUAGCCACGGUCAAGACUCCUAAGGGAGGCAGCAGUAGGGAAUCUUACGCAAUGGGCGAAAGCCUGACGGAGCGACGCCGCGUGAGAGAUGAAGGUCUUCGGAUCGUGAUACUGUGUUAUUAGGGAAGAACAUAUGUGUAAGGAGCUGAGCACAGCUUGACGGUACCGAAUCAGAAAGCCACGGCUAACUACGUG
rnacentral:rRNA from 1 species